rnacentral:ncRNA from 18 species
AACUCCGGUGCCACGGGUGAUCUUCCCAAAGAAACAUGAUGGGGAAAGAAACCCCACCAAGCCCCACCCCUCCCGCCCGCGGCUCCCGCUCACUCUCGCGAGUGAACAUCACCAACUUGGCUGGCUUCGGGACAGGUUGACUGCUCUACGCUCAGCGCGGCACCACACAACCGCAGACAUGCGACGGCCCCCGCCGGGACGGCAAUCCCAGUGCGAGGGCCUGACCACCGAGGAAGACAGGACUUCCCG